UACGGAGGGGGCGAGCGUUAUUCGGAAUUACUGGGCGUAAAGGGCUCGUAGGCGGCCAACUAAGUCGGAUGUGAAAUCCCCAGGCUCAACUUGGGAACUGCAUCCGAUACUGGAUGGCUUGAAUCCGGGAGAGGGAUGCAGAAUUCCAGGUGUAGCGGUGAAAUGCGUAGAUAUCUGGAGGAAUACCGGUGGCGAAGGCGGCAUCCUGGACCGGCAUUGACGCUGAUGAGCGAAAGCUAGGGGAGCAAACGGG
rnacentral:rRNA from 1 species